GCAGAUCCUUUCAAAGAGAAGAAAAAGCCCAAAGAAGGGGAAAGUAUUAUGGAAGAAGCGCCAGCUGAUAUUCUGUCACUUCUGGAGCUGAGACGGAUAUAAUAAGAACCCACAAUAUGGUGAAUUGGUGCUUUACUUAUUUACUAUUUUUAACUAGAAUUUUUUUGCCGAUCAAGCGCUACCUGGUAUUGAGGUUGUGGUUCAAGCCAUGGUUUUAGUCAUCUGUCGCAUUCUCUUUUUCCUUUCUUUCUUUAUUGCAAACUCUGAUGUUAGAAAUGUACUUAAUGGAUUUGAACACACAUCUUACGUCGCAUUCAUGUGGUUAAUGAUGUAAUUAUUACUCUCAUUACAAUGGUUUGCUAUAUGGCGAUAGUGAGAUUCCAUCAGCGAAGGGGAAACCUGGAGAAUACCAGUGAAGCUCUUUCAUAUGAGGCUUUGUCGAGUCUUCCCUGACUUUUUCAAGGCACGGCUGUUCAUUACGUGAUUUAAUUAGUCGCAGGUUCUAAGGAAAAUCUGCUGGUACUUGGUUCAGUCACCACACGAUCGGUUGCAGUCAAGCCUUUGUAAUACUUUAGAAGCUAAAAAUGUCUCAGAAAUUCCCCAUAUCAGUUUGCAGUUGAAACAAUUGGUCACAAUGGAGGUUAUCCAGUUAACUGCUCUUUGGAGUAAUUUCAGGGAUAAAUUUGAGAAUGAGAAAACCAUGCUCGAAGGUGCACUUGUUGAGAAGGCAGCAGAAGAUCUUAGAUAGAGAAUACGCAAACAUAAUAUUAUUGUCGUUUUGAAGUAUUACUCGAGGAUUACCUUGAGGAAACUUGCAUAGCUGUGCCUCAGCAUCCAGCCUCUCUGCCCCUGAUACCUGUAGGUUAUGGUUGCUGGACUUGGAUACAAGUUCCAAAAAAGUGGAAAAGAGGUUUUGGUGCCUUGAAGGCCAAGGCUUGUCUUGAGGUUGAAAAUGUUGUGCUUCUAGUUUUUUUCUAUGAAUAUUUCAGACCGAUAUAUAUGCAUACACACUGUGCUUAGUCAACUUCUCAUAAAAUUUGUCAUAGCUAUCAGUGUCAAUGUCUGGCAUUGUGAAACCAUUUCUUGUCCCAUGGAGCCUGAAAUUCUGAUGCGCUUUAGAAGUGUGGGAGGAGUUCUGUUAUGACUCACCAUUUCCAGUGUUACAAAAGUAUAUCUCGUGAUUAGAGCUUUC